UACAGAGGUGGCAAGCGUUGUUCGGAAUUACUGGGCGUAAAGGGCGCGUAGGCGGCCUACUAAGUCAGACGUGAAAUCCCCCGGCUUAACCUGGGAACUGCGUCUGAUACUGGAAGGCUUGAGUAUGGGAGAGGGAUGUAGAAUUCCAGGUGUAGCGGUGAAAUGCGUAGAUAUCUGGAGGAAUACCGGUGGCGAAGGCGGCAUCCUGGACCGACAUUGACGCUGAGGAGCGAAAGCCAGGGGAGCAAACGGG
rnacentral:rRNA from 1 species